CCCGGCUGCUGGUGGUUGUGUGGUGUGGGGAAGAGAGAAGCGAGAGAAACCAGCUGGCGAGGGGUUAAUCGGUUCCAUUGCAAUUGUGUCAUCUCUUUGGGGACCUCUCGCUCAUUUUGUGAGCAACCGCUGAAAGACGAGGCACGGGGGCUCUUUCUUAUUCAGCUGCACGCAGCUUCAGAAGCACCGGACAGCAGCACAGCUGUGCUCAGCCGGCUUGGCCUUGCAGAUGGAUGGAGAAAAGGAUUUGAUAAAAUGGAGAAGAGAAACCUGCCUGUACUCCUGAAUCUGGAGAGUAAACUUUGCCCACAGAAGUUGGGAUAAGGAGGAUGACCACAGGCUGCUAGUCUCAGGUAUCAGUGGAGGAAGCAGAGAAACCGCCUGAAGCAGGAGGGCUGGACCUGGAUCCAGAGGGUGAAGUUUUAGUGCUUGGAUCCAGGAUGUUGCUUUGAUCCAUCGAGAGAGAAGGAUCCAUUGCAAACUUCGGAGUGGGUCCAAAAUUCCCCCAAGUUUGGAGCGGUUUAGCUCUAGUAAUCGGUGACUCCAGGUACUGACGUGGGACCCAUCACUGUGGUUAGCUGAGUGCUUAGGGGUU
rnacentral:lncRNA from 1 species